rnacentral:rRNA from 1 species
UACGUAGGGGGCUAGCGUUGUCCGGAUUUAUUGGGCGUAAAGAGCGUGUAGGCGGCCAGGUAGGUCUGCUGUGAAAACUCGAGGCUCAACCUCGAGACGUCGGCGGAAACCAUCUGGCUAGAGUCCGGAAGAGGAGAGUGGAAUUCCUGGUGUAGCGGUGAAAUGCGUAGAGAUGGGGGAGAACACUCGUGGCGAAGGCGGCCAGCUAGACCAGUUCUGACACUGAGGCGCGACAGCGUGGGGAGCAAACAGG